UCUCACCUGCUACCUUCUCCUUCUCCUUCUCCUUCGAUCUCCUCUGACUUGAUCGUCGGAGGGCCCCCACUACCCCGGUGGUGGUGCGAGGCUUGCUUGCAGGUUUCACGGCGGAGGGCGGAGCGCAACCAAGGCAAUUCCAAGGGAACCCCGUUCGCACCGCUGUGCCAAUCGUUCUCGGUUUGGACCCCCAGCAACAGUUGGCGCUAGAGGAAGGGCCGGAUCUCAGAGCGAUCGUAAUGGCAUGGCGAGGUGGUCGUGGAGCUUCCAAUGCUUCCGGUCGCGGGGCCUCUCGCGCCACUGGCCGGGAGGCCGCUGCAUCUCCAACACGCUCUCAGCAACACUCCACCGCCCCACCGCCCAUUCAGAUGGUCGAAGCCGCCCAGUUCGACCAGCUAACCCAGCAGGUUCGCACCCUCGCGGAUGCGGUGCAGAAUCUGCAGGGUGC
rnacentral:lncRNA from 1 species